rnacentral:rRNA from 1 species
GAUGAACGCUGGCGGCGUGCUUAAUACAUGCAAGUCGAACGAUGAAGCGCAGAUUGCUGGGUGGUGUAGUGGCGAACGGGUGAGUAACAAGUGAGUAAACAGCCCUUAUAUCUGGGAUAGGCCUGGUAAACUAGGCGUAAUACAGGCCAGGAACGCCUACGACCUGGAGGGUGUUGUAAAGAUUUAUCGGUUUUGGAUGGAUUCGAGGUCUAUCCGCUCGUUGGUGAAGUAUUGGCUAACUAAGGCGAUGACAGGUAGACGGCCCGGGAGGGUGACCGGCCACACUGGGACUGAGGCACGGACCAGACUGCUACGGGAGGCAGCAGGGGAGAAUAUUGCACAAUGGGGGCGAGCGAGAUGCAGCGACGCCGCGUGCGGGAUGACGGCCUUCGGGUUGAAAACCUCUUUCUAUAGAAAAGAAGCCAUAGUGACGGUACCUGCAGAAGAAGCACCGGCUAACUACGUG